GAUGAAGGUAAGGUAAUACUUACUGGAGGUCCGAACCCACGCACGUUGAAAAGUGCGGGGAUGAGGUGUGGGUAGCGGAGAAAUUCCAAUCGAACUUGGAGAUAGCUGGUUCUCUCCGAAAUAGCUUUAGGGCUAGCCUCGAGGUAAAGAGUCAUGGAGGUAGAGCACUGUUUGGACUAGGGGCCCUUCUCGGGUUACCGAAUUCAGAUAAACUCCGAAUGCCAUGUACUUAUACUCGGGAGUCAGACUGCGAGUGAUAAGAUCCGUAGUCGAAAGGGAAACAGCCCAGACCACCAGUUAAGGUCCCCAAAUAUAUGUUAAGUGGAAAAGGAUGUGGGGUUGCUUAGACAACCAGGAUGUUGGCUUAGAAGCAGCCACCAUUGAAAGAGUGCGUAAUAGCUCACUGGUCGAGUGACCCCGCGCCGAAAAUGUACCGGGGCUAAACAUAUUACCGAAACUGUGGAUGAACCUCUUCGGAGGUUCGUGGUAGGAGAGCGUUCUAAGGGCGGUGAAGUCAGACCGGAAGGACUGGUGGAGCGCUUAGAAGUGAGAAUGCCGGUAUGAGUAGCGAAAGAAGGGUGAGAAUCCCUUCCACCGAAUAUCUAAGGUUUCCUGAGGAAGGCUCGUCCGCUCAGGGUUAGUCGGGACCUAAGCCGAGGCCGAUAGGCGUAGGCGAUGGACAACAGGUAGAGAUUCCUGUACCAGUGCUAAUUGUUUAACCGAUGGGGUGACACAGAAGGAUAGGGAAUCGCACGAAUGGAAAUGUGCGUCCAAGCAGUGAGUGUGAGAAGUAGGCAAAUCCGCUUCUCGCGAAGCAUGAGCUGUGAUGGGGAAGGAAAUUAAGUACGGAAGUUCCUGAUUUCACGCUGUCAAGAAAAGCCUCUAGGAAGAGUAGUACUGCCCGUACCGCAAACCGACACAGGUAGAUGAGGAGAGAAUCCUAAGGUGAGCGAGAGAACUCUCGUUAAGGAACUCGGCAAAAUGACCCCGUAACUUCGGGAGAAGGGGUGCUCUAUUAGGGUGCAAGCCCGAGAGAGCCGCAGUGAAUAGGCCCAGGCGACUGUUUAGCAAAAACACAGGUCUCUGCAAAACCGUAAGGUGACGUAUAGGGGCUGACGCCUGCCCGGUGCUGGAAGGUUAAGAGGAGUGCUUAGCUUCGGCGAAGGUACGAAUUGAAGCCCCAGUAAACGGCGGCCGUAACUAUAACGGUCCUAAGGUAGCGAAAUUCCUUGUCGGGUAAGUUCCGACCCGCACGAAAGGCGCAACGAUCUGGGCACUGUCUCAACGAGAGACUCGGUGAAAUUAUAGUACCUGUGAAGAUGCAGGUUACCCGCGACAGGACGGAAAGACCCCGUGGAGCUUUACUGCAACCUGAUAUGGAAUGUUUGUACCGCUUGUACAGGAUAGGUAGGAGCCGAAGAGACGUGUGCGCUAGCAUACGAGGAGGCAAUGGUGGGAUACUACCCUGGCUGUAUGACCAUUCUAACCCGCCACGCUAAGCGCGUGGGGAGACAGUGUCAGGUGGGCAGUUUGACUGGGGCGGUCGCCUCCUAAAGAGUAACGGAGGCGCCCAAAGGUUCCCUCAGAAUGGAUGGAAAUCAUUCGCAGAGUGUAAAGGCACAAGGGAGCUUGACUGCGAGACUGACAAGUCGAGCAGGGACGAAAGUCGGGCUUAGUGAUCCGGUGGUUCCGCAUGGAAGGGCCAUCGCUCAACGGAUAAAAGCUACCCCGGGGAUAACAGGCUUAUCUCCCCCAAGAGUCCACAUCGACGGGGAGGUUUGGCACCUCGAUGUCGGCUCGUCGCAUCCUGGGGCUGUAGUCGGUCCCAAGGGUUGGGCUGUUCGCCCAUUAAAGCGGCACGCGAGCUGGGUUCAGAACGUCGUGAGACAGUUCGGUCCCUAUCCGUCGCGGGCGCAGGAAAUUUGAGAGGAGCUGUCCUUAGUACGAGAGGACCGGGAUGGACACACCGCUGGUGUACCAGUUGUUCCGCCAGGAGCAUCGCUGGGUAGCUAUGUGUGGCAGGGAUAAACGCUGAAAGCAUCUAAGCGUGAAGCCCCCCUCAAGAUGAGAUUUCCCAUUUCUUCGGAAAGUAAGAUCCCUGAAAGAUGAUCAGGUAGAUAGGUUUGGAGUGGAAGUGUAGCGAUACAUGGAGCGGACAAAUACUAAUCGAUCGAGGACUUAACCAAAA
rnacentral:rRNA from 1 species